AACGAACGCUGGCGGCAGGCCUAACACAUGCAAGUCGAGCGCGCCCUUCGGGGUGAGCGGCGGACGGGUGAGUAACGCGUGGGAACGUGCCCUUCUCUACGGAAUAGCCCCGGGAAACUGGGAGUAAUGCCGUAUACGCCCUUCGGGGGAAAGAUUUAUCGGGGAAGGAUCGGCCCGCGUUGGAUUAGGUAGUUGGUGGGGUAAUGGCCUACCAAGCCGACGAUCCAUAGCUGGUUUGAGAGGAUGAUCAGCCACACUGGGACUGAGACACGGCCCAGACUCCUACGGGAGGCAGCAGUGGGGAAUCUUAGACAAUGGGGGAAACCCUGAUCUAGCCAUGCCGCGUGAGUGACGAAGGCCCUAGGGUCGUAAAGCUCUUUCGCCAGGGAAGAUAAUGACGGUACCUGGUAAAGAAGUCCCGGCUAACUCCGUGCCAGCCGCCGCCGUAAUAC
rnacentral:rRNA from 1 species